UAGGUUGGGUCUGGUUACAGAGGU
rnacentral:piRNA from 1 species